CGAGUUAUAAGUAAGUACAUUAUUGCAUCUGCACACUGGGUCCAACGCUCCUGCUUUACUUUCACUUGUUUUCUGUUUCAGCAGAUGAAUGAUGUCUGGAUUGGGAGACUGCAGUGUCAGGCAGUUAUGGGGUGAGAGCCUGGCACUAUUUCCUUCUCUAGAGCCAGAUUUUUCACCCCAAGUGUUCUGCUCCUCUAGACUCAGCCUGACACGGAGCGGGAGCUGGAGCUGUCAGCAACUGAAUACCCUGAUGAACUGGAGGGACCUGAGGGACCUGCUCGAGAGAACGGGACGCAGGUCGACUUGGAGAGCUGCUUCUCUGCCUCAAAGUUUCCCUUCUCAGAAUCCUGGUCAAAGACGGGUUUUCCUGAUGAAAGAUAGAGAAACCAUUCCAGAGCUGCACCAGGUCUCUGUCGAUACCAGUGUAUAUAAGCACUACUAAGGGCUAUGCCAGAAACAUGACAGUCAAUUUGUGCAGUUCUAUCUUCUGCUUUGGUGAUGGAUAGUUGAGAUUGUACCAGUACUUGGGCCUCUCCAUCUGCAGAGAAAAGAGACAAAUGUCAAUUAAUCUGAAAUUGAAUGAACAUGGAGGAUCUCCAAUCAUUGCUCAGUAAGGUGCCUGCAUGGAGAAGCCUAGAGUGUAAAAAGCAACUUACAAGACCAAACUACUGAAGCAAGAAGAUAAACUUGCAAUAGUAACAUUCUCACUAAGUUAUGAUGAACCUGCUACUGAGAAAGAAAGGAAUAUGAAUUCUGAUCUCAGAAAAAGGGUGGGAUCACUUGAGUAGAGGAAGUGACAGAUGAGCUAUUUCAAGGCAAUACAGAUAUGUGUUUGCCUUAUUAAAAGUUCAAAAGUUUUGUGAUAGGAACAUCUAUUAACCUUCACUCAUGCUAUCCAGCAACUUUUCUGACUGCUGCCUUGUUUAGAACUUUUGAAAAAGAGUAUCAUAUUAUAACAACAAUAGUUGCAGGUAUUGAGGUUUUCUGCAUUCCUUUAAAAAAAAACCCCAUAAACAUUAGCAGAUUUGAUCAAGGAAUAAUGCUCUCAGCAUGAAAAAGGCAACUCCUCAGGUAAUCUGAUAAUACUCUAUCUUCCCCUAGCUCAGUUAUAUUGAAACAAGAAAAUUCAAUUAGAGUAAAUCAUUUGCAGUGUUCUUAUUUUCAUACACAUUUAUAUCCUGUUAAAUGGCCUUUUGGUAUAAAAAACAAACAAACAGAGAACCCUAUAGAUUUUUAUCACUUUACUUAUAUAGAAACGUGCAGUUCUAGGAUGGAAACACUGUAAUGACUGCUGUAAAUAUACGUUUCCAACCAACCAAUCUUGCCUCCAAAGAAUCAACAUCAGCCCUCUUCUUGGCAUCUAAAGAGAGCCCCUUUACAGAAAUUCCAAUUUAGUAGUUCCACAGCAAAAGGAUGAGUCUUCGGUAUGUUGUGGAUGUCUGGGAGUUGAAAUGUCUGAGAGUUCUUCCACUGACCUCACUGGGCUCUGGAUGAAACUUGAAAAGGCCUGUCCUGUAAGGUGCGGAGCACCUUCAUCUCCCAUUACAGGCAACAGGAACUCACAAGGCCAGGGCCUUAUGGCUUUAAAUCCCAACAACAGUAAAAUGAAAAUCCCAUUCCUAAUACUAAAAUGUGCGAAAAGAUUCUUCUGAGUGUACUUGGGGUUUUUUUGUUUUUGUUUGGUGGUGGUGUUUACAAAAAAGCACUUUACAAUAAUGGUAAAGUAAUUGCAAUCCAAACCUGCUAGAUGUCUAAACAGUAAUUUGUUGGUUUCCUGUCUUGAUGAUGAAGCCCCUGAAAAGCAACACAUCCUGUUUUGUUAAAAGGAUGUUUGUGGUAUGGGGAGGGAGGGAAGGCGGGGGGGGGGAUUUGCUGUAUAAACUUUUUAUUCUCAAGACACCUUAUAGCUUCACAAAAUAAGGUGUUAAUGGUUCAAUAUUAAUUCAGUUAAAAAUUUUGUGCCACUGUAUCAUUUUCUCCCUUCACCAUUUGCUCCAUGUUACAGAAAGGAGCACAUUCUGAAAAAGGUAGACUUGAGAAAUCUCAGCUGCUAAUGCCUAGGUCCAUGUUCCAGAUCUUGCUACAGUCCUUUGAAAAUUCUUUGAAAUUUUUGUUGUUGUUGGAGGUUUUUGUGGGUUUUUUUUUUUGAGGAACACAGUGGGAUAACUUUGCAUUGAUGACUGGGUCAUAACUUUUGAAACUAUAUAAUUGCUGGUACAGUGAUCAAGAGACUAGAAGGAAAACAGUCACCCAACUCAAGUAUGAAAUCUUAUUAUGACUUGAUUGAAUUCUGUACCUAAGUCUAAGAACUAUUAAAAAUAAACUGAACGCUUUGCUCAUACAGAGCUUAUCCUAUAAAGCACUAAGUAAUGCUAGAAGUGCUGAGGUCUCAUCUCUCAUUAGUGCCUACAGAUGAUGAUGAGAGCACCCACUACCUUUUAGAAAUAGCUCACUAUCUGGCAGGAUAGGGCACCUUUCCUUUGGAGAUUUCAAAGUGCUUUAAACAAUCUUUAAUGCAAGAAAAAAGAAAUGCCAAACAUCUUCCUUACUGAUGCAGAGGAUGGUGUGAACAAUACAUUACAAAACUUGCAUACGAUUCAAAACUGGGUUGAGUUGGAGACACCCGUGAGGACAGAGAAAAUAUGGAAAACUCUGAGAUCAGUAUCAUUAAGUUUUCUUGAUAUUCUACCAGGCAUGGAAUCAUCUGUCAAAGAAGAUGAUGGAAGCCCCGUUUUGGAGCCCUUUAAAACUAGACUUCACACAACACUAGAAAACACUUGGUAGGGAAUAGUUCUGCAUUGGCAGGAAGAUGGACUGGAUGCUGUAAUAGGUCUUUUCCAUUUCAAACCGCUAUGGUUUUAUGAUCUUUAACCACAUAUUAAUGAUUUUUUUGGAAAGAAAUAUGUAAGUACCACACUUCUGUAAAUGUCCCAUGUUCAUGAUUUGUUGUGGACCAAAUGGUUUCCUUAACAUACAUGCCAAGAACUUGAAUGGAUAUUAAUCUAUAUUGGACAUUCUGAACGGUGUCUGUAAGUGACAGACACAUGUAUGACUCUCUAAAUUAUAUGUGAGUGAGUACCAUAUAUAAUCCAAUGAUAUUAACAGGAGUGCCACACGUCGAUCAACACUACAAUAAGCAGUUUCAUUUGCUCAUUUGAAAUGAUUAAAAGUUCUCAGUCAAAGAUGAUUGAUGGUGAAAUGAGCUAUCAGAGGACAUAAGUGUGAACCAAAACCUAUCCAAUUUCAGGAGCGGCUGGAAUUCCUGGAACCUAGGAUAUGGUAUUCCAUUUCCACUCUGCUGAAACGGACAUAGCUAGAGGGAGGUACUGCAUUACUGUGAUCCCUAACUCCCACAAUGGCUCCUUAGGAUCAUUCCUAGCAGGGCACAACUAAAUGCACUAAGGUGUAGUGGGAGCAAAACUAGCCACUAGCUGACCCCAGCACUAUGGGGACACAGAGAUGGCAUCCAGCCACCUUUGUCACCAAGCUCAGUCUUGCACCGAGUGCAGUGCAGAUGAAUAUGAGGUACGGGCCCUUUUCCAUGGGAAAGAAGCCCCCCAGGAUUUCCUGUUCCCGUCUCACAUUUAGAAUGAAGAGCUUGUAAGCUAUACAUUUUGGCUGUUCUUGUCUUAACUCCUCGAGCAUGGCACACGUGCACUCAGAGGAGCCAAGUUAGUUAUUUUAUGUAUGGCCAUCGAAAGUGAGUAGAAAACUCCAGUAUUCUGUGUACACUACAGCUCCAGCCAUGGAUAUGUGCUGAAAAUUCCCAGUGGAGAUGCCAACUGCUGUUUGUUCCCUCCUAGAAAAUGUCUUCCCCCGCCCUCACCUUCCCUGUUCACUUAACUCCCCCGGCCUGUCCCCAGUUAUUUAUUGUCCCCAUCCCAUUCUUCCUCAUUCUCUCACUCCCCCAGUGUCUCUGAUCACCCAUUGCUUUGUGAAGUCAAAUGGGUAGUGACUGUUCAAUCACUUGUUCUGCCUUUAGAGAUGGAGCCAGCACCGGUAGGCAGUCACUGGAUGUCAGCUUUGUGCUACCCACUAGUCAAACUCCCACUUCCCUGGCACAGGCAAAUCCCUACACAACUUGGGCUGGCCGAAUGGGGGUUCACACUGGCCAUGGUUUGUGGGACUGAGGCUAUGCCUGUUGCGUAGGCUGGUGUGCCUGGGCCGGGGGAGGGAUCAGCCUGCUCUGCUGCAGCAGUAAUAUGAGAGUUGAGCCCCCCCCACAGAGCUGUGGUGGUUUUUGUGCAGGGUUGCAGGAAGCUGGUGGCACUGUGUAAAAUCCCAUGUGGCACAGUAAUAGCGGCCACUGUCUGUCUCUUCCAGCUUGUGCACCAACAAGUUAGAGAUGCUUUGUCUCCCAUAGGCUGAGAAUUUCUCCUUGGGGAAGGCUGCCUCUCGCUUUAACUGCGACCCAGAGAGAGUGAGGUACAGCAGCCUGUGUGGGGCCUCUCCAGCUGGGGCUCGGUACCAGUGGAUGUAGGUAGAGUCCGAUCCACCAAACACCUUGCAAGUGAAUUUGGCAGAGCUGCCUUGAAGUGGCUGCUUUGUGACCGAGAUCUGCUCCUGCUCCAGGUGAAUGGCCCACAGAACAGCUGGAAGGCAAAAAGAGAGAAAGCAGCCAUGAGGAGACAGCACCUAGACACAUUUCCCUCUUCAGAGAGCAGUAACAUGUAAAUGGUCUUGCAACCUGCAAGUUCUUGAGAAAGGUACAUGGGCUUAAUUAUCCAUUGCCUUGUGCCUUGUAUAGCCAUUUAUGUCUCUGUAAAUGUGAGGGCAAAAUGGGUAAAGCCUCUAUCUCUAAUGUGAGUGAAUGAUCAAUUUCUGUUUACACCUGGGCAAAUAUGGUGUGAACAAUUACACAAGGUACAGGGAAGUGAAGAAUCAGACCCUUUAUCUGUGAGGAACCAUCCCCAGGAUUACGGAUCCUGAUUUCUUCAUUUCUGUACACCAGUUUUAUUUCAGUUCAAUGCCAUUGGCUUUAUUGGUACUGUACUAGCAUCAAGUUGUUACAUUGGACUCGAGAUUCAGGCCCAUGCUCGGGCUUUUUUUUUUGUUAACAAUAAAUACAAAAUAAAAUCACUAACUACAGUUAAUGUGUCCAAUAAACUUACCAGGGAAGAAGCAAGCAAAGAGAGCUUGCAGAUAUCCCGCCAUGCCUCUUUAACUUGCUGCACCUUUUCGGGAAGGAAAGUUAUUGAAGUUAAUGGUGCUCAAUUUUGUCAAAAGAAAAAUACUGUUAUCCAGUUCUGACUGAAGAAAGCAAAAAAUGAGGAUAUUGCUGCUCUUUUUACUGUACCAUCUGGUUUCCUGUUGAGUUGGGGGUGGGAGAAGGACGGAGAGUUUGUGAGAGAGCCAUUAACCAUUUUAGGUUUCAGAGUAGCAGCUGUGUUAGUCUGUAUCCGCAAAAAGAAAAGGAGUACUUGUGGCAUCUUAGAGACUAACAUAUUUAUUUGAGCAUAAGCUUUCGUGAGCUACAGCUCACUUCAUCGGAUGCAUUCUAGAUUCUUGGGUCCAGAUCCUAAUUCAGUAAUUAGGAUGAUUUCAAUGGAAGUUAGGAGACUAAAUACCUCUGAGAAUUUCUGCCUUAGUGCCUUCUCCUUCCAUGGACAGAAAUAUACACAUAGCAAAUUGUAGUGCACUUUUCCACCAUUAAUGCUCUCUGGUUAAGGCACUGAACUAGGACUCGGGAGGUCUGAACUCAAUUCACAGCAAUGCCACAAAUGUCAUGCAUGACCAUAGGCAAGUUACCAAGAGCCUGAAUUUCAGAGGUGCAGAAGUACCCACUGGUUCUGUCAAUUUGUGCUGGAGGGAGAAGUGCUCAGCUCUUCUUGAAAAUCUGGCCCAUAGUUCUCUUUUUACAGUUGGAGAACAGGAGAUUAUUGUUUCUUUUUAUGUGUUGUCUAUUUAGACUAUAACCUCUUUGAGGCCGGGAUCAUCUCUCACUGUGAUCUACAGCAUCUAGCACAGUGGGACCCCUCUCUUUCAGUUGGGGCCCGUAGGCCCUAAAUCAUGAAAAUAAUAAUUUUAUUAUUAUA